rnacentral:rRNA from 1 species
UACGUAGGGCGCAAGCGUUGUCCGGAAUUAUUGGGCGUAAAGAGCUCGUAGGCGGUCUGUCGCGUCCGUUGUGAAAACUCGAGGCUCAACCUCGGGCUUGCAGUGGAUACGGGCAGACUAGAGUGCGGUAGGGGAGACUGGAAUUCCUGGUGUAGCGGUGGAAUGCGCAGAUAUCAGGAGGAACACCGGUGGCGAAGGCGGUUCUCUGGGAAUUACCUGACGCUGAGGAGCGAAAGCAUGGGGAGCGAACAGG